GGUACACUUUCUUGGUAACCUGCCCAUUCUUCCAUUGCCUGCAUGUUUUCCUUUUGUAUUUCAGGCAUUUUUGCAGCUCUGUGUAGCCACAUUGGUCACUUGUCAUUCUUUUUGCAGUUCUGUUGUGUUGAAACAGUUUUCUGGUUGGGCUUCCAAUAUUCUGCCCUUUAGAAGCUCCCAGUCCUCAUCAGUGCCUUUAUCUUUCUGCCUCUAUCUUUUAGCCUACCGUGACACCAUGCCUAUUAAUUCCCUCAAUUAAAUAUUACACUUCAUUUCAACUGUGGGUAAGAGGAGAUUGAUUGAGAUCAUUUUAGUUAAAACUUAAAAGCUUUAUUAGAAUACACAAUAUCAAAGAUGCAUUUGGAUUAAUAAAGACAAUGCUUUUGUAGCCUUGGAUUUCAGGAAGAAACAGGUUUGCUGGCCAGGACUUUUUGUUUUUCCUGGGGAUUGAGUUGGUUUGCUCAGCUCCAUAGAAGUUCAAAUUUAAAAGUUUUAAAGUAGCAGUUUUAUUUUUUCAGCCUAUGCUCAAUGUUUAUAUUUGACUGGUUUUAGUAUUUUAAUGAAUUAGUUGUGGUUUUAUUUAAUUUUCUUUUGUUUAACUGAAACCUUUAGAAGUGGAUUAAACUGAAUUUUUGUGGACCCUGUAAGGUGUUAAUUAGUUGGGAUUUAUAUUUUUGUGAAAGCAAAAGGAGCAAGGGAAGCUUUUUUCCCUUUUUCUUUUCUAUUUUGGAAUGCCAUUUUACACUGGUUUGUUUCUUUUAACCUUAGAUUACUUAUGUUUGACAAGGCUGCAUUGCUUUUACAACUUAAUUAAGCAUUUUAACAAAAAUACAUUUAUUAUAGCAAAAUAACAUUUAAUGUAUUUGGUUAUAUUAAUUAGUACUUUUAAUUGUUUUAAGAUGAAACUAUGAUUAUUUGGAUUAUUUGCUGUAUGUUUUUAUAGUGGUUUUUUUUUCUAGGCUUCGUGCUUUGUUUGAUUUGUGUUUAAUUAAAUAUGCAUGGUUUGUUUUUUGCUUUGCUGACCAAGUUA